GGGCAUUGCGGCAGCUACACAUGCAGUCCGAGCGGAUGAGAGGAGCUUGCUCCCUUGAUUUAGCGGCGGACGGGUGAGUAAUGCCUAGGAAUCUGCCUGGUAGUGGGGGAUAACGUUCCGAAAGGAACGCUAAUACCGCAUACGUCCUACGGGAGAAAGCAGGGGACCUUCGGGCCUUGCGCUAUCAGAUGAGCCUAGGUCGGAUUAGCUAGUUGGUGAGGUAAUGGCUCACCAAGGCGACGAUCCGUAACUGGUCUGAGAGGAUGAUCAGUCACACUGGAACUGAGACACGGUCCAGACUCCUACGGGAGGCAGCAGUGGGGAAUAUUGGACAAUGGGCGAAAGCCUGAUCCAGCCAUGCCGCGUGUGUGAAGAAGGUCUUCGGAUUGUAAAGCACUUUAAGUUGGGAGGAAGGGCAUUAACCUAAUACGUUAGUGUUUUGACGUUACCGACAGAAUAAGCACCGGCUAACUUCGUGCCAGCAGCCGCGGUAAUACGAAGGGUGCAAGCGUUAAUCGGAAUUACUGGGCGUAAAGCGCGCGUAGGUGGUUCGUUAAGUUGGAUGUGAAAGCCCCGGGCUCAACCUGGGAACUGCAUCCAAAACUGGCGAGCUAGAGUACGGUAGAGGGUGGUGGAAUUUCCUGUGUAGCGGUGAAAUGCGUAGAUAUACGAAGGAACACCACUGGCGAAGGCGACCACC
rnacentral:rRNA from 1 species